rfam:Triticum aestivum genome assembly, contig: Triticum_aestivum_CS42_TGACv1_scaffold_145840_2BS
AGGGAUAUAACUCAGCGGUAAAGUGUCACCUUGACAUGGUGGAAGAUAUCAGUUCGAGUCUGAUUAUCCCUA